rnacentral:tmRNA from 1 species
GGGGCCGAAUUGGAUUCGACCGAAAAGACCUUGAUGGAAUGUGGCGCGUCCAGGAGCAUGCGUUGCCUGGUAAAAAGUAUGCACAAUUUUGAUUGCCAACGAACGUCAGUUCGCUCUCGCUGCCUAACUAGGCGGUGACGAUCCCGUCUUGAUGCCCGGUAGGGGCGGGAUCGACGAUUUCGGGCUGGUCGUUGCGUGCUGUCUGCGGGCGCAACGAUGAGACAACUCUGUGGGCUGGACCAAAGGGAAGGUUGUCGACCACCGUCCCGCGGUUGAGACUAAAUAAUCGAAUACACGCGUAGAUGCACCCAUGAAGCUUUUUGGCACGGGGGUUCAAUUCCCCCCGGCUCCAUUU